rnacentral:lncRNA from 1 species
CAACAUGUCCAACAUGCUUGUAUGUAUGCAUCUCAUGUAUUUUACAUGUGCAUGUGUGCAUUCUCUUGUUAGUUUUUGGAAGAAAGCUCAAUGGUGGUUGGCAUCAACUUAAAAGACAAGGGAGGUAGGAGCUAAGUCCCUGUCCCUUUACACAAGAUAAAGUUGAUUUCUAUCUUUUCCGACCAAAAAUUAAAAAGAGAAUGUGAUAAGGUUGAUUUUGCCAAAGAGAAUGGAAGAGACGCAUGGUUAGGUGUGCUUAUAUCCUAUCCCCGUGCAUAUAGAGUAACCUCAACCUCAAGUUUCCCAUUGACUCAUUGGUCCCAUGACCCAUUCGGUACAAUGAGUGUGGACUAGCUAAGCAUAGUACCUU